rnacentral:snRNA from 1 species
AGCUUUGUGCAGUGGCAGUAUCGUAGUCAAUGAGGUUUAUCCAAGGCGCGAUUGUUGCUAAUUGAAAGAAAAAAAUAGCUAAACAUUUUAGCUUUGAUUUUUCUGAAAGGAA